rnacentral:rRNA from 1 species
GACGAACGCUGGCGGCGUGCUUAACACAUGCAAGUCGAACGGUAAGGCCCUUCGGGGUACACGAGUGGCGAACGGGUGAGUAACACGUAGGAGAGCUGCCCUGCACUUCGGGAUAAGCCUGGGAAACUGGGUCUAAUACCGGAUAGGACCACUGCCUGCAUGGGUGGUGGUGGAAAGCUUUUGCGGUGUGGGAUGGGCCCGCGGCCUAUCAGCUUGUUGGUGGGGUGAUGGCCUACCAAGGCGACGACGGGUAGCCGGCCUGAGAGGGUGACCGGCCACACUGGGACUGAGAUACGGCCCAGACUCCUACGGGAGGCAGCAGUGGGGAAUAUUGCACAAUGGGCGCAAGCCUGAUGCAGCGACGCCGCGUGAGGGAUGACGGCCUUCGGGUUGUAAACCUCUUUCAGCACCGACGAAGCGCAAGUGACGGUAGGUGCAGAAGAAGGACCAGCCAACUACGUGCCAGCCGCCGCAGUAA